rnacentral:rRNA from 1 species
AUUGAACGCUGGCGGCAGGCCUAACACAUGCAAGUCGAACGAGUGGCGGACGGGUGAGUACUGUCUGGGAAACUGCCCGAUGGAGGGGGAUAACUACUGGAAACGGUAGCUAAUACCGCAUACCAUCAGAUGUGCCCAGAUGGGAUUAGCUAGUUGGUGGGGUAACGGCGCACCAAGGCUACGAUCCCUAGCUGGGCUGAGAGGACGACGCGCCACACUGGCACUGAGCCACGGUCCCUACGCCUACGGGAGGCAGCCGUGGCGGAUAGUGCACAAUGGGCGCAAGCAUGUUGCAGCCAUGCCGCGUGUAUGAAGAAGGCCUUCGGUUUGUAAAGUACUUUCAGCGGGGAGGCGUUACCCGCAGAAGAAGCACCGGCUAACUCCGUGCCAGCAGCCGCGGUAAUAC